rnacentral:rRNA from 1 species
UACGAAGGGGGCUAGCGUUGCUCGGAAUUACUGGGCGUAAAGGGGGCGUAGGCGGUUGGUUUAGUCGGAGGUGAAAGCCCAGGGCUCAACCUUGGAAUUGCCUUUGAUACUGGCUAUCUUGAGUAUGGAAGAGGUAUGUGGAACUCCGAGUGUAGAGGUGAAAUUCGUAGAUAUUCGGAAGAACACCAGUGGCGAAGGCGACAUACUGGUCCAUUACUGACGCUGAGGCUCGAAAGCGUGGGGAGCAAACAGG